GAAGGUUGAACCGGUCGAAGAUACCAGCUGGCUGCAACUGUUUAUUAAAAACACAGCACUCUGCAAACACGAAAGUGGACGUAUAGGGUGUGAUGCCUGCCCGGUGCUGGAAGGUUAAUUGAUGGUGUCAUCGCAAGAGAAGCACCUGAUCGAAGCCCCAGUAAACGGCGGCCGUAACUAUAACGGUCCUAAGGUAGCGAAAUUCCUUGUCGGGUAAGUUCCGACCUGCACGAAUGGCAUAAUGAUGGCCAGGCUGUCUCCACCCGAGACUCAGUGAAAUUGAAAUCGCCGUGAAGAUGCGGUGUACCCGCGGCUAGACGGAAAGACCCCGUGAACCUUUACUAUAGCUUGACACUGAACAUUGAAUUUUGAUGUGUAGGAUAGGUGGGAGCCUUUGAAGCAGUGACGCCAGUCAUUGUGGAGGCGACCUUGAAAUACCACCCUUUAACGUUUGAUGUUCUAACGAAGAUGACGAAACGUGGUCUCGGACAGUGUCUGGUGGGUAGUUUGACUGGGGCGGUCUCCUCCCAAAGCGUAACGGAGGAGCACGAAGGUUUGCUAAUCACGGUCGGACAUCGUGAGGUUAGUGCAAUGGUAUAAGCAAGCUUAACUGCGAGACAGACAAGUCGAGCAGGUACGAAAGUAGGUCAUAGUGAUCCGGUGGUUCUGAAUGGAAGGGCCAUCGCUCAACGGAUAAAAGGUACUCCGGGGAUAACAGGCUGAUACCGCCCAAGAGUUCAUAUCGACGGCGGUGUUUGGCACCUCGAUGUCGGCUCAUCACAUCCUGGGGCUGAAGUAGGUCCCAAGGGUAUGGCUGUUCGCCAUUUAAAGUGGUACGCGAGCUGGGUUUAGAACGUCGUGAGACAGUUCGGUCCCUAUCUGCCGUGGGCGUUGGAUGAUUAAUUGGGGCUGCUCCUAGUACGAGAGGACCGGAGUGGACGCAUCACUGGUGUUCCAGUUGUCUCGCCAGAGGCAUUGCUGGGUAGCUAAAUGCGGAAGAGAUAAGUGCUGAAAGCAUCUAAGCACGAAACUUGCCAAGAGAUGAGUCAUCCCUGACUUUAAGUCAGUAAGGGUUGUUGUAGACUACGACGUAGAUAGGUC
rnacentral:rRNA from 1 species